CAUCCAUAUCACGUUGAAACACCAUUUCCCGUACGAUUACUGAAGUUAAGCAACGUUGAGUUUAGUCAGUACUUAGUUGGGUGACCUUUUUGGAAAUACCAGGUGCUAUA